rnacentral:rRNA from 1 species
CACGGAGUUAGCCGGUGCUUAUUCUGCAGGUACCGUCAUCACACUACACGUAGUGCUUAUUCUUCCCUGUCAAAAGCAGUUUACGACUCAGAAAGCCUUCUUCCUGCACGCGGCAUGGCUGGGUCAGGCUCUCGCCCAUUGCCCAAUAUUCCCUACUGCUGCCUCCCGUAGGAGUCGGGCCCGUAUCUCAGUGCCCGUGUGGGGGACCAGCCUCUCAGCUCCCCUAGUCAUCGUCGCCUUGGUAAGCCGUUACCUUACCAACUAGCUAAUGACCCGCAACCCCAUCUAUAACCAAUAAAUCUUUACUAUUCGAGUGAUGCCACUCAAGUAGCUUAUGCGGUAUUAAUCCGCCUUUCGGCGGGCUAUCCCCCAGUUAUAGGUAGGUUAGUUACGUGUUACGCACCCGUGCGCCACUAUGGUAUUGCUACCACCGUUCGACUUGCAUGUAUUAGGCCUGCCGCUAGCGUUCAUCCUGAGCCAGGAUCAAACUCU